CAUGCAUCUGCUUCUGUAUGCUUGCUUCUGCUCCCCAAAAUCCUAUAAAAAAGCCCAUCCUUGGUUCCGUGGGCGCGCCAGUCCCCCGAGUGACUGAAGCGCUCGCAGGUGCCUGUGCCUGUGUAUCCCGACAAUAAACCAAAUCCUCUUGCUGAUUGCAUCCUGUGGUGUCUCGGUCUGGUCUUUAAAGUUGGAGGGUCUCCAUCCCGAGGGAAAGUUCUCCCUGAGAGCUUUUCAUUUAGUGCGUUGGCCAGGAAAGGAGAUCCUCCACCCAGGGACCACCGACCACCCACUGGGAGGUAAGCCGGCCGGCGUCUGUCUGUCUGUCUGAUUUUGUCUCGUUCUGCCUUAUUCUGUCUGUUCUGUGAGCGCUCAGCCAGGUUCUGUGAGCGCUCAGCCAGGUCUGUUCUGUGAGUGCUCAGCCAGGUUGUUUGGAAUUUGGGCGGGACGAAGAAGGAGCUGACGAGCUCGGACUUUUCGCCCCGCAGCCCUGGAAGACGUUCCAAGGGUGCUAGGGGCCCGACUUUUCGGGCCCCAAUCUGGGAGAGGAGAAAGAUCCGGACUAACGGCACCUCUGUCUGUAUUUUUGGCUAUCAGAGGGCCCCGGACCUUUGCCACCUCCAUCUGACUUUUUGCUUUCAGUUUGGUACCAAAGCCG
ensembl:lncRNA